GAUGAACGCUGGCGGCGUGCCUAAUACAUGCAAGUCGAGCGAACAGACGAGGAGCUUGCUCCUCUGACGUUAGCGGCGGACGGGUGAGUAACACGUGGAUAACCUACCUAUAAGACUGGGAUAACUUCGGGAAACCGGAGCUAAUACCGGAUAAUAUAUUGAACCGCAUGGUUCAAUAGUGAAAGACGGUUUUGCUGUCACUUAUAGAUGGAUCCGCGCCGCAUUAGCUAGUUGGUAAGGUAACGGCUUACCAAGGCAACGAUGCGUAGCCGACCUGAGAGGGUGGUCGGCCACACUGGGACUGCGACGCGGUCCAGGCUCCUGCGGGAGGCCGCAGUAGGGAAUCUUCCGCCAUGGGCGAAAGCUUGACGGAGCAACGCCGCGUGAGUGAUGAAGGUCUUCGGAUCGUAAAACUCUGUUAUUAGGGAAGAACAAAUGUGUAAGUAACUAUGCACGUCUUGACGGUACCUAAUCAGAAAGCCACGGCUAACUACGUG
rnacentral:rRNA from 1 species